CACGUCCUGGCUCAGAGAGGUUACGUAACUGAGACCCAAGAUCCCGACCUUGAACCCUGAGCUGCCUGGCGCGGCCUCGCAGUCCCUGAGGUCGGACUCCGGAGACCGGGUGAGCGGAAGAGGGAAGCCCUUGGGGGAGGGGUGUGCACCCACGAUAGCCACAAACGGCUCUGUCUUUGGCGGGAGAAGCUGCGAAGGCCCAGGGACCCUGCGAGCGGCCAAGAGAGGUAAGAAGGUACUCCCCACAGAAUCUUCCUCAACCUUGGCAGCCCCGGAGUUGCUAGUUUCCCCUCCUGGACCCUCUGCCAAAGUCACCUUCUAGGCAUUGUGAAUCUUGGACACGCCUGUUGCUAACUUGACAAGCCACAGGCUUAUUUGUUCAGCACUGAGAGAAGUUUCUGUAUCAAGAGCCUGCCUUUGAGGGAACGGACUGUGGACAGUGGUCAAGGAGAAAUUCCUCUUCUGAUUAGUUUUAUUGCCCCUGUGACAUCUGAGGAGUAUGAAGUAGGCUGGUAAUUCAAUCCUAGAAGGAAAUUGGAAUAUUAAAGAAACAGCUUAUUGUUGCAAUCCCAUCAAACUUGCCUCUUCCAGUGGCAGUGAGAAGCUCCAUCGUGGGUGGAGAUGGAUUUAGGAAAGACUUCCUGCAUGAAAAUGGCAUUUCAACUAGACAUAGAAAGAUCAUCUGGAGGGAAGUUGGAGACAGCUUGGGGACCGAGGAGUAUUCCAAAGUACCACCGAUGCCACGAACAAGACAACUUCAAUCCUUGCCCUCCUGGAUUGCCCAAGUAACUAUUAGCAAAUGACAAUUGCGGUAAAAUCUCUGAAGGAAGGAUGUUAGCUUGAACAAGGCUUUGGCUAGGCUUCCGUGAGAAAUGCAAUUCCAGUUGAUACCUGAAUGGUAAUGAUACCUGGAAUACAUGUUUUAACUCACAUGCUCUGUUUUCUUGUGAUUGGAAUAAAAAGCAAAAGAUGUGGGCACUUGAAGCUGCUUGGACCUAUACACCCCAACUUUUGAUGAAAUUCUCAAUGCAGGCAUAAAAGGUCUCAUUGGUGGGAGGUGCUGACCACGUCUGUCUUCAAUGUCUGCCCUUCCUGCUGUUGACUGGACCCACUACCUUGUCAGUUGGCCUUAGGUUGCCUGGGUUAUUCUUAAAUUAAAUUCUGAAAACACGCUUCAUUUUCUCCGAAGCAAUGACUUGGGGGAGACCAGAAAUGAUGCUGUGGUCAGAGAAUGACACUGGAAUGUAGGACUGAGGGCUGAGACUCUGGCUGGAGAUCACUCAGCCUGCCCACAAGUCUAAAAAUGCACAGUUUGACUGUGAUGCUGGAAAAUAUCUCCUCAUGUGUUGGCUUCUGCCAACAGAAAAGAGAAAGCCCAAAUCACGGAUGGCAGCAAUAUUAUUAAUUCAGGAAUCUUAGCGCUCCAGCCUCGCUCAUUUUGCCCUAAUGAUUAAAAAAAAAAUCAUUUCACAGUGAAU